rnacentral:rRNA from 1 species
UACGGAGGGUGCAAGCGUUAUCCGGAUUCACUGGGCUUAAAGGGUGCGUAGGUGGGAAUGUAAGGCAGUGGUGAAAUCUCCGUGCUUAACAUGGAAACUGCCAUUGAUACUAUGUUUCUUGAAUUUUCUGGAGGUAAGCGGAAUAUGUCAUGUAGCGGUGAAAUGCUUAGAUAUGACAUAGAACACCAAUUGCGAAGGCAGCUUGCUACAGGGAUAUUGACACUGAGGCACGAAAGCGUGGGGAUCAAACAGG